AGGUGCAGCUUCAUGUACCGCAGAGCUGUUGCAGCUGCUAUGUACAUCCAAUUAGCUUUUUCAUUUUAUUCACAAAAACUUCAACUGUUUACACAAAACUUACACUCACUAAAUUUGUUUAUAUUAAAACAUUUCCGUAGAGCAUUAAUAACAAGUAAAAUUACUACAUUAGUUAAGAAAAAUCAAAAUUCGUGCAGAUUACUCGUGUCGUGUGGAAUUUAAAAUGGCGGGUGCAGAUAGGAAACGAGAAUAAAAGCAAUAUGAGAAAAUAUGUGGAUGCCAUGACUAAAUUUUUUGUAUUAUUUAAUUUUUUUCAAUAAAUUUUUAUCUUUAUUAAAAUCUAGGAUUAGCAUCCCUCAAGUCUAAGAAGUUCGCUUAGAAACAUUUUUUACAUUUUUUGUUACCACUUGGCGUUCAAUUAAAAAUUACCAACAAAUUUUUCUACUUACCCGAACGAUUUUAGUAUGUUAUAUAACCUUAAUAACUUUCACAUAACUUUCACCUUUCGUUAUCAUUUGCAUUUAAAAUUUGUUUACUUUUGUAAUUGUUUUUAUAUAUGUUUAAAAAUAUUUUAAAUUAAUAAAAAGAUUCAAUCGAUCUGGUAUCUUUAUAACACAGGAAAGUAAAACGCGAACGCAAAUAAAAGUAAUCUCCGAUUUCCGCAUUCACGCCUAUCCGCCAAAGUAUUUUGAAGUGCAGAACACAUAGAGCGCGACAGACUGCAAGCAACAUCUGUCAAAUAUUAAAAUACACACGUUCUUAAGGACACAGUUAUUUAGAUAGCUGCCGACUACAAAACUGUGUCCAUAAGAAUGUGUGUAUUUUAAUAUUUGACAUAUGUAUGUCGCUUGAAGUCUGUGUUCAGCACAUGAAUAAGUUUAGCGAGCAAUUUCAAUUUUCGAUAUAGAAUGUGUGAUAAAAUAUAUAUAUACAUAAAUGUAUAAAUAAAAAAUUUAAGUAAUCGCUUUCAGUCUAAAAACUGUUAAUAUGGUUGUGCUAGCUUUAAACUUCAUUCACAUAACCGCCAUUUAUUUCUGAUGUGCAUUCGCUUCGCGGAAAUUGCUAGAAUAAGCGAAAAGAAACGGAAAGGAGUAUUAAGCAAGACCAGUGUUGCCAACUGCGCAGUAUUUAUUUUUUACAUUUUACAUACCAAUCUUUUCUAAUACGAAGUUUUAGAAGUUGUCAGUAAUAAACAAUAUGUGUUUGUUUUUGUAUUUUUCUGUUGUUUUGUACGUAUUAAUAAAAGUCUAAUAUUAAUAAAACUGAUUUAAAAUCAAAUUAUAAAAAUGCUAUUUAUAUGGCAGUCCGGCAACAAUUUGACUGCUUUUCCAUCGUACGGUUUCCUCCGUUUCAUUCGGUAAACCGCCAUUUUCAAUUUCAAUAAGCGCAGUUAUGUUUAGUGAGUGCGGGUUUUAAUAAAUUUCGGAAAGUGAUUAGUGUAAGUGUUUUUAUUUAUAGAUUAAGUGUUAUAAUAGAGUAUAUGUGAUAGUGAAUCCAUAAAAUAUAGUGAAAGUUAGUGAAGUGUUUAAUUUGAAGAAAUUCCUUUAACGUUGGAAGUGCAAUCGAGCUUGGGAGCUAAUUUACAAAAUUGCUUCCGUUUGAGAAAAGUUGGUGGCAGCUUAAAAAUAAAAACGAACAUAAUUUGAACCACUUUUGUAAUCGUAUGAUUAUAUUUAAUCAUUAUAAUCACUGCAACAACACAUAUCAAUUUACGGCGAUUAUAUCAAAUCCGCUUUUAUUACACGGUUCCUCAAUUAUCGAUCAUUUAGCUUAUUAAUAUUUAGCCGACGGUGCGUAUGAGUUUAUGCGAGACAGACAGGCAGCUGCCACGGCGGAAAGUGGUGCCUG